AACGAACGCUGGCGGCGGGCUUAACACAUGCAAGUCGAACGCAUCCUUCGGGGUGAGUGGCAGACGGGUGAGCAACGCGUGGGAACGUGCCCUUCAGUUCGGGAUAACCCAGGGAAACUUGGGCUAAUACCGGAUACGUGCGAGAGCAGAAAGAUUUAUCGCUGAAGGAUCGGCCCGCGUCUGAUUAGUCAGUUGGUGGGGUAAUGGCCGACGAAGGCGACGAUCAGUAGCUGGUCUGAGAGGAUGAUCAGCCACAUUGGGACUGAGACACGGCCCAAACUCCUACGGGAGGCAGCAGUGGGGAAUAUUGGACAAUGGGCGCAAGCCUGAUCCAGCCAUGCCGCGUGAGUGAUUAAGGCCUGAGGGUUGUAAUGCUCUUUCGUCCGGGACGAUAAUGACGGUACCGGAAGAAGAAGCCCCGGCUAACUUCGUGCCAGCCGCCGCCGUAA
rnacentral:rRNA from 1 species